rnacentral:rRNA from 1 species
AGAUUGAACGCUGGCGGCAGGCCUAACACAUGCAAGUCGAGCGGUAGAGAGGUGCUUGCACCUCUUGAGAGCGGCGGACGGGUGAGUAAUGCCUAGGAAUCUGCCUAGUGGUGGGGGAUAACGUUCGGAAACGGACGCUAAUACCGCAUACGUCCUACGGGAGAAAGCGGGGGACCUUCGGGCCUCGCGCCAUUAGAUGAGCCUAGGUCGGAUUAGCUAGUUGGUGAGGUAAUGGCUCACCAAGGCGACGAUCCGUAACUCGUCGUGA